rnacentral:lncRNA from 1 species
AGUGUUUUCUAUAAAGGCAUCAUUUAUUGCCUUAGAAGGCAAUGUGGAAGAGCUAGAAAGAUCCAGAAAGGGUCUACUAUUUUCCUGUUCCAUUAAUCCCAUCUAAGUUCUAAGAAAAACCAGAAAAAUGCCAAAAGAAGUUCUACUGUUUCAUUGAAGCUUCAGUGGUUGGUUUCAUUUCUAAAAAAUACAACUCCUAUCCAGAUAUUCAAAUGAAUUGAUUGCUGGAAGAAGGUCAAUUUCUCAUUGGUUUUCAACUAAUCGUCUAGGUGUUAAGUCCUGAAAUUGUUGUUGCUGGGCUGCUGAGAUUUGAGCUUUCUUAACUUUAGUUUUUCUUGUUUAUUUGCUGAAUCAGGUACAUCUGUUUAUAACUUUGUUGAUCAUGAAGUUCGAAUUUGAGAAAACAAACUGAUGUGAAGAAUUGAAGCAUGAGACUUCUUCUGUUUUGUUUCCUGAUUUACUGUGACCUUUGCUUAAUUUAGACUUGUAUAAGUGGUUGUAACUAUUAGCAUAAGUGACAAUGGAUUCAUAAGUUGAUUGUCAUGUUCACCCUCCCUGAUUUCUUCAAGUUUUGAAUGCAUUUUACCCACUGAUAGAGAUCUGAUGAAUUAGUUCCAUUGUUAUGGUAUGCAUCGACAUCAUGUUUUGGAAUACAGUCCAUGAAUAUCUCUAUUAGGCUUUAAAUGAGGCUUGUUAGAUCACUGUUAGAAGUAGUUCCAUGUCAAAUGCAAAGUUUCCAUGUUCGUGUUAGUUAAUUUGUCGAGGCUUAGAAAAAUUUGUAUAUUUCAUAGAUUUGUAUGAAAUUAAAUAUAUACUGGCUGGCUACUAUAGUUUUGCCCUCUUACCCUAUGUUUGUUGAGAAAUACACUUAGUUAAGACACUUGUAAGUCUGUUCCUAGCUGCUAGAAUUUGACGAUUUGAUUCAUGACAAUUGGUUUAGUUUCGAACACUCUGGCUCAAGCAUAAAGGGCUGAAAACAUUGUUUAGGAUUCUCUAUAUAUUGGUGAUCGAUCAUCUUUGCUAAGUUUGAAUGAAAUCGAAAUCUUCACUGUUGUGUUAAGGUCGGUACAAGAUAGGAAAAUGUUUAUCUUCUUCCUGUUUUAGUUAAUUCCUUUUUAAGUUAAUCCCGGCCCACUCAAGUUUAAAAGAUUUCUUUGUCAUUUUCUUUAGUGCUAGAGUGUUUGUAGUUGUUGGGAUUGAUUAUUUAAUAUUCUUGGUCUCUUCUCUCUUUAGCUAGAUGAGUAAGUGUUAUGGGAAUGUUUAUGUUUGCGCUCAGGCUUCAUGUUUUGAAUUGUAUGGCCAAGAUUCACAGAAUAUGGUGCAUUUGUAGAUUUAUUAGCUAGAAUUUAGAAAGUUUUUUUGCUAUCUACCGUGCCAGCAGCCUAUUUCAUUUGGCUAAAUGAUAUCUGUUCUGACGAUUAUUGAAUUAUGGGUGAGGGAGAAGAUCGAGUCCACGAGAGAUGAACUCACUUACAUGUUUUAGAUAUCGGGCUCGGCCAAAUAAAAAUAGAGAAACCAUGGCCCUCAUAUUGAUUUUAUAGCCUAGAUAUAAAAAGGGAUUUUUACCUAUACAUCCCAUAUAGCAAACCUUAUUACCAUUAUUGUGCAUUAUUUGGUUAUUACCCUCAUAUCCCAUGUUUUUGUUACAAAAUAUGUACCAAACGAAAUCUUNNN